rnacentral:rRNA from 1 species
UACGGAGGGUGCAAGCAUUAAUCGGAUUUAUUGGGCGUAAAGGGCGCGUAGGCGGAUAUGAAAGUCAGAUGUGAAAUUCCGAAGCUCAACUUCGGAGCUGCAUUUGAAACUCUAUGUCUAGAGGGAUGGCGGAGAAAAUGGAAUUCCACGUGUAGCGGUGAAAUGCGUAGAUAUGUGGAAGAACACCAGUGGCGAAAGCGGUUUUCUAGCUAUUUCCUGACGCUGAGGCGCGAGAGCAAGGGGAGCAAACAGG